rnacentral:rRNA from 1 species
GGCCUGAGAGGGUGACCGGCCACACUGGGACUGAGACACGGCCCAGACUCCUACGGGAGGCAGCAGUGGGGAAUAUUGCACAAUGGGCGGAAGCCUGAUGCAGCAACGCCGCGUGAGGGAUGACGGCCUUCGGGUUGUAAACCUCUUUUAGCAGGGAAGAAGCGAGAGUGACGGUACCUGCAGAAAAAGCACCGGCUAACUACGUGCCAGCAGCCGCGGUAAUACGUAGGGUGCAAGCGUUAUCCGGAAUUAUUGGGCGUAAAGAGCUCGUAGGCGGUCUGUCGCGUCUGCUGUGAAAUCCCGAGGCUCAACCUCGGGCUUGCAGUGGGUACGGGCAGACUAGAGUGCGGUAGG